ACGUUAGCGGCGGACGGGUGAGUAACACGUGGGUAACCUACCUAUAAGACUGGGAUAACUCCGGGAAACCGGGGCUAAUACCGGAUAAUACAUGAAACCGCAUGGUUUCAUGAUGAAAGACGGUUUUGCUGUCACUUAUAGAUGGACCCGCGGCGUAUUAGCUAGUUGGUAAGGUAACGGCUUACCAAGGCAACGAUACGUAGCCGACCUGAGAGGGUGAUCGGCCACACUGGAACUGAGACACGGUCCAGACUCCUACGGGAGGCAGCAGAU
rnacentral:rRNA from 1 species